AUUGAACGCUGGCGGCAUGCUUUACACAUGCAAGUCGAACGGCAGCGCGGGCUUCGGCCUGGCGGCGAGUGGCGAACGGGUGAGUAAUGCAUCGGAACGUGCCCAGUAGUGGGGGAUAGCCCGGCGAAAGCCGGAUUAAUACCGCAUACGACCUGAGGGUGAAAGCGGGGGACCGAAAGGCCUCGCGCUAUUGGAGCGGCCGAUGUCGGAUUAGCUAGUUGGUGGGGUAAAGGCUUACCAAGGCGACGAUCCGUAGCUGGUCUGAGAGGACGACCAGCCACAAUGGGACUGAGGCACGGCCCAGACUCCUACGGGAGGCAGCAGUGGGGAAUUUUGGACAAUGGGGGCAACCCUGAUCCAGCCAUGCCGCGUGCGGGAAGAAGGCCUUCGGGUUGUAAACCGCUUUUGUUCGGGAAGAAAUCCUCUGGGCUAAUACCCCGGGGGGAUGACGGUACCGGAAGAAUAAGCACCGGCUAACUACGUG
rnacentral:rRNA from 1 species